GGGCCGUUAGCUCAGUCGGUAGAGCAACUGACUUUUAAUCAGUAGGUCGCUGGUUCGAACCCAGCAGGGCUCACCA
rnacentral:tRNA from 1 species